GACCUAGUGGUGAAUGGAUCACACCUGCUUCUCUUGCGAUACUCAACAGUGGGCAGCGGGGGGUCCCGGUUCGAUUCCGGGCUAGGUCA